ACUUAUUGUGGUAAAAACCAUACUAUUGAUAAGUGUUGGAAACUUCAUGGACGACCUGCAUGGGCUGAUGAUUUGAUUGCCCAGAAACAUAGAAGCAGUGCUGCUCAUGUCACCACUCAAACCACUGGGGAUGAAUCAGGUGAUGUAACCACUAAGGAGGCCAAGCAAGGAUCUUCACACUCAGGAGGAGGUGGGUCGUGGUUUUAGGAGAGGGGAUUUAUGGUACUUUCAUGGUUCAAAGUCUGACAUUGUUGCACAUCAAGUUAAUAAGCAAGUUUUGGAGAAUGAGAAGAUGAUUUGGUUGUGGCAUCAACGGUUAGGACACCCAUCAUUUGGAUAUUUAAAGCACCUUUUACCUUCUUUGUUUGCUUCUUGUAAUAAAGAGUUUAAAUGCUCUACAUGUGAGACUUGUAUUUUCGCCAAAA